UCACAGUCAUCAAGAAAGGCUUCUUUGGAAUUAUCGAGACGAGUGGAUCAAUGAUAGAGCACACAAGGAAACAGAAAAGAAUCUUCACCCGUGUGUCAUAACAGACUGUCCAAAUGAAUUGUCAACAGGCUACAUAACUACAACAAAAAACAGAAAGAACCUAUAGAACAGACAAAGUAAUCGUCUACAACUCCACAUAGCAGCAGGAGAAAAACAAGGCCCACUUGCUGUGAAGAAAGCAGUAAAAAAAAUGUAUAUGUCAAUGAUGUGUGUAUUAUUUAUACCAACAUGAAACAUUAUUGAAAAUUUAUUAGAUUUGUUGACAUCAAAACAAUGCAACUGUAAGUAGAAAAAUAGGGGCAAUACAAAUGACAAAAGAAUUGUCUCCGUCACUUUAGAUAUAUUUUGUGUAAAUAGUCCAUAAUUGUAUAUCAACACUGAUUAGGCUAAGGCACAAUUUGGGAAUAAAUGUGUAGCAUCAAUGUUUGGUGUGUCAGUGAUUGACUAUGUGCAUGUGUUGACCUUAUGCAUGUUACACAUAUGUUAGGUUUAAAGAUAAGUGAUUGACUUUCAUUGACUUCACUAA